rnacentral:rRNA from 1 species
AGCACGGGGGCAACCCUGGUGGCGAGCGGCGAACGGGUGAGUAACACAUCGGAACAUGCCCAGUCGUGGGGGAUAACACUUCGAAAGAAGUGCUAAUACCGCAUACGUCCUGAGGGAGAAAGCGGGGGAUCGCAAGACCUCGCGCGAUUGGAGUGGCCGAUGUCAGAUUAGCUAGUUGGUGGGGUAAAGGCCUACCAAGGCAACGAUCUGUAGCUGGUCUGAGAGGAUGAUCAGCCACACUGAGACUGAGACACGGCCCAGACUCCUACGGGAGGCAGCAGUGGGGAAUUUUGGACAAUGGGGGCAACCCUGAUCCAGCCAUUCCGCGUGAGUAAAGAAGGCCUUCGGGUUGUAAAGCUCUUUCGGCAGGAACGAAACG